ACCCGGGCGAAUUCCAAGCUUGAGUUUGAUCCUGGCUCAGGAUGAACGCUAGCGGCAGGCUUAAUACAUGCAAGUCGAACGGGAAUUGGGUAGCAAUACCUGAUGAUAGUGGCGCACGGGUGCGUAACGCGUAUGCAACCUACCUUUAACAGGGGGAUAGCCCGGAGAAAUUCGGAUUAAUACCCCAUAGUAUUAUGGAGAGGCAUCUUUUCAUGAUUAAAGUUCCGGCGGUUAAAGAUGGGCAUGCGUGCCAUUAGCUAGUUGGUGAGGUAACGGCUCACCAAGGCGACGAUGGUUAGGGGUCCUGAGAGGGUUAUCCCCCACACUGGUACUGAGACACGGACCAGACUCCUACGGGAGGCAGCAGUAAGGAAUAUUGGUCAAUGGGCGGAAGCCUGAACCAGCCAUGCCGCGUGCAGGAAGACGGCCUUAUGGGUUGUAAACUGCUUUUGUCAGGGAAUAAACCCUCGUUUGCGAACGAGGCUGAAGGUACCUGAAGAAUAAGCAUCGGCUAACUCCGUGCCAGCAGCCGCGGUAAUACGGAGGAUGCGAGCGUUAUCCGGAUUCAUUGGGUUUAAAGGGUGCGCAGGCGGGCGUAUAAGUCAGGGGUGAAAUGCCACGGCUCAACCGUGGAACUGCCUUUGAUACUGUAUGUCUUGAGUUUAGUUGAAGUGGGCGGAAUGUAGCAUGUAGCGGUGAAAUGCAUAGAGAUGCUACAGAACACCGAUAGCGAAGGCAGCUCACUAAGUUAAGACUACGUC
rnacentral:rRNA from 1 species